UGACGGUACCACUUGAAUAAGCUCCGGCUAACUACGUGCCAGCAGCCGCGGUAAUACGUAGGGAGCAAGCGUUAUCCGGAUUUACUGGGUGUAAAGGGCGUGUAGGCGGGACAUCAAGUCAGAUGUGAAAGCACGGGGCUCAACUCCGUGUCUGCAUUUGAAACUGCAGUUCUUGAGUGCUGGAGAGGCUAACGGAAUUCCUAGUGUAGCGGUGAAAUGCGUAGAUAUUAGGAGGAACACCAGUGGCGAAGGCGGUUAGCUGGACAGUAACUGACGCUGAGGCGCGAAAGCGUGGGUAGCAAACAGGAUUAGAUACCCUG
rnacentral:rRNA from 1 species